GGUUCCAUGGUGUAAUGGUUAGC
rnacentral:piRNA from 4 species